UACGUAGGGUGCAAGCGUUAUCCGGAAUUAUUGGGCGUAAAGAGCUCGUAGGCGGUUUGUCGCGUCUGCCGUGAAAUUCCCUGGCUUAACUGGGGGCGUGCGGGCGAUACGGGCAGACUGGAGUACUGCAGGGGAGACUGGAAUUCCUGGUGUAGCGGUGGAAUGCGCAGAUAUCAGGAGGAACACCGGUGGCGAAGGCGGGUCUCUGGGCCGAUAUUGACGCUGGAGGAGCGAAAGCGUGGGGAGCGAACAGG
rnacentral:rRNA from 1 species